UCACCACCGUCUCUGCAAAUGAAGCACCACGAUUCCAGCUUAACCGCCGUUUCGUCGCUACCGGCGUUCAUCUCCACUGUCGUCUUUACCGACGAUAGCAUCUGCUGUCGCUGAUUUAACCAUCACCGACCCAACAUCUCAACUUUUCACCGGAGCAUGUCAAAACCCAGAAAUCGUCGACUAUUUCUAGAUCCUCUCAUUUCCGAUGAUAGAUUGACGUUAAUUCAUCCUCACCGCUGACUGAUUCCGCUGCUACCUUAACCGAUGCAGCUCAGCUCUGCAAUCCCAGGUAAAUUCCGAAACUCCCAUAGCCAUCUCUUUACCAAAAUGUUAUUUCAGUUUCUGUUGCUGUGAUUUGCAAUUACUUCUGAAAUCUUACUGUCUUCCUUUUCAUCUGCAGCUGCUGAAGACACUUUUGAUUUCAAAAACUAAGCAUCGUGAAUUGCAGGUAAAACCCCAAAUUCCUUUGACGCUUCCAAACUUUCAAAUUUGACCACCUGAAAAUUUUGCCAUUUGAGAAGAUCAACCCGUAAUGAAACACUUCUUCUCUGUUACCCUGAAAUGAUGACUUUUACCAAUCUCAUCUCACAUUUUUCAAACUUUACAAUCUGAAAAAACUUUGUCGAUUUCUUAUGUUACCGAUACUGAAUUUUUUUUUUCAAUAUCUUCUGUCUUUGUGAGAUGCCCAAAUCGACAAGAGCAAUCUCAAGACGCUUUUGGAAACAACUACGGAAUUACAUUGAGAAGCACCAGGAACUUCUCAAACGUGUUUCCAGGUAAGCACUUUGUGAGCAUGUCUGCUGGAUUAGCUGUAGUGUGAACCUUUAGGAUCUUGACUGAACCUUCAUCGACUAUAUCUCUGAUAAAAUGAUAUUUGGUAUCAACAUGCUUUGUUCUGUCAUGGUGCACACUGUUCUUUGCUAAACAUAUAGCACUUUGUGAAUUACAAUUGAGUUUAAAACUGUCCUCUUUAAAACCCAAUUCACCACACAAUCCCUUAAGCCACAGACCUUCCUUAGUAGCCUCAGAUAGAGACAUAUAUUUUGCUUUCGUAGUAGAUAAAGCAACUACUUGUUGUAGACAUGAUCUCCAACUGACCGUAUUGCCACCAACUUUGAAAACAUAGCCUGAAACUGACCUUCUCCUGUCUAAGUCUGUAGCAUAAUCUGAAUCACAAAACCCUUCAAUCUCAAAUUUCUCUGAUUUUGUGAAAGUAAGACAUACUCCUGUAGCUCCUUUUAAAUACCUCAAAAUCCACUUAACCGCAGCCCAAUGAGAUCUUCCUGGAUUCGCCAUGAAUCUGCUAACCAAUCCAAUGGCAAAGGCUAGAUCAGGUCUUGAACCGAUCAUAGCAUACAUCAGACUCCCCACUGCACUUGCAUAGGGAACUGAAUCCAUCAAUCUACUCUCUGUUUUUACCUCCUGCUCUGUUAGACUCUUAAGCUUAAACUGCGAAUUACUUGGAGUUACAACAGCCUUGCAAUCCUCCAUGUUAAAAGUUCUUAAAACCUGCUUAAGAUAUCUUUCCUGUGAUAACUUGAGAGUACCUUUCUUUCUGUCCCUGAUGAUAUCCAUACCAAGAAUUCUAGUCGCUGGUCCUAGAUCCUUCAUCUCGAACUUUUUACUUAAGCUUGCCUUCAAGGCUUUGAUCUUUUCCAUAUUCUUUGCUGCCACAAGCAUGUCAUCGACAUAUAGUAAGAGAUAAACCAUAUCAUCAAUACAUGAUCCCUUAGUGUAAACACAUGGAUCCCUAGCGCUCCUUUGAAACUCCAUUGACUUCAUGAAUUCAUCAAACUUCUGAUUCCAUUGUCUAGGUGACUGUUUCAAACCAUAUAGAGAUUUCUUAAGAAGACAGACCUUGUCUUCGUUUCCCUUCUCUAUAAAACCCUCUGGCUGACUCAUGUAAAUGACUUCAUCAAGUGUACCAUGUAAGAAAGCAGUUUUCACGUCUAGUUGCUCCAAUUCCAGAUCAAAAUUAACCACAACUGACAACAUGAUUCUAAUAGAAACAUGCUUAACCACCGGAGCAAAUAUUUCGUUGUAAUCCACUCCUUCAACCUGUGUAAAUCCCUUAGCUACAAGUCUUGCUUUGUAUCUAGGUUCUUCAACACCUGGAAUGCCCUCCUUGUACUUGAAGAUCCACUUACACCCAACUAUUUUCUGCUUUCUCGGCUUAGAGACAAUCUCAAAAGUUUCAUUUUUAUCCAGAGAUUGUUUUUCCUCUUCCAUAGCCUGCUUCCACUUCUUCCAGUCUUUACUUCGUCUAGCUUCUGCGACUGACCUUGGUUCAUUUAACUCUAUGCUUUCAGCGCUAGUUAAAGCAUAAGCUAAAUAAUCAGCAUCCUCAAACCUCGAUGGUGGUUUGAUAGUUCUUCGCUCUAUGUCUCUUGCCAGCAAAUAAUCAUCAAGAGACUCUUCUUCAUCCUGAUUUUCUUGUUCUUCCUCAGAUUCCUGCUCCUCUUCUGAUUCUGAAUGUUCCGAAGUAGCUCCACCUUGACCAGCAGAAUCUGUAUUUCCUGAAACCUCUCCACCUUGACCAGUGGACUCUUGAACCGAACCAUUUGGAGUAGGUCCUUGGAUCAAUCCAGCUUUGAAAGUAACUUUCUUCUUCUUUGUAGAUUUUGUUACUUCAUUCUGAUCUCGGUCCUUAUACAACUUUUCCUCAUCAAAGACUACAUUCCUGCUGUUAGUACAUUUUCCAUCCUCC
rnacentral:lncRNA from 1 species